rnacentral:rRNA from 1 species
GACGAACGCUGGCGGCGUGCUUAACACAUGCAAGUCGAACGGUGAAGCCCUUCGGGGUGGAUCAGUGGCGAACGGGUGAGUAACACGUGAGCAACCUGCCCCUGGCUCUGGGACAACCACUGGAAACGGUGGCUAAUACCGGAUACGACCCGCCUCGGCAUCGAGUGUGGGUGGAAAGUUUUUCGGCUGGGGAUGGGCUCGCGGCCUAUCAGCUUGUUGGUGAGGUGAAGGCUCACCAAGGCGACGACGGGUAGCCGGCCUGAGAGGGCGACCGGCCACACUGGGACUGAGACACGGCCCAGACUCCUACGGGAAGCAGCAGUGGGGAAUAUUGCACAAUGGGCGAAAGCCUGAUGCAGCGACGCCGCGUGAGGGAUGACGGCCUUCGGGUUGUAAACCUCUUUCAGCUCCGAAGAAGCGAAAGUGACGGUAGGAGCAGAAGAAGCACCGGCUAACUACGUG